rnacentral:rRNA from 1 species
UGGCGGGACGGGGGAGUAAUGUCUGGGAAACUGCCCGAUGGAGGGGGGUAACUACUGGAAACGGUAGCUAAUACCGCAUAACGUCGCAAGACCAAAGAGGGGGACCUCCGGGCCUCGCGCCAUCAGAUGAACCCAUAUGGGAUUAGCUUGUAGGUAAGGUAACGGCUUACCUAGGCGACGAUCCCUAGCUGGUCUGAGAGGAUGACCAGCCACACUGGAACUGAGACACGGCCCAG